rnacentral:rRNA from 1 species
AGUGGCGGACGGGUGAGUAACGCGUGGGUAACCUGCCUUACACAGGGGGAUAACACUUAGAAAUAGGUGCUAAUACCGCAUAAGCGCACAGUCCCGCAUGGGACAGUGUGAAAAACUGAGGUGGUGUAAGAUGGACCCGCGUCUGAUUAGCUAGUUGGUGGGGUAACGGCCCACCAAGGCGACGAUCAGUAGCCGGCCUGAGAGGGUGGACGGCCACAUUGGGACUGAGACACGGCCCAAACUCCUACGGGAGGCAGCAGUGGGGGAUAUUGGACAAUGGGGGGAACCCUGAUCCAGCGACGCCGCGUGAGUGAAGAAGUAUCUCGGUAUGUAAAGCUCUAUCAGCAGGGAAGAAAGAAAUGACGGUACCUGAGUAAGAAGCCCCGGCUAACUACGUGCCAGCAGCCGCGGUAAUACGUAGGGGGCUAGCGUUAUCCGGAAUUACUGGGCGUAAAGGGUGCGUAGGUGGUUUCUUAAGUCAGAGGUGAAAGGCUACGGCUCAACCGUAGUAAGCCUUUGAAACUGGGAAACUUGAGUGCAGGAGAGGAGAGUGGAAUUCCUAGUGUAGCGGUGAAAUGCGUAGAUAUUAGGAGGAACACCAGUUGCGAAGGCGGCUCUCUGGACUGUAACUGACACUGAGGCACGAAGCGUGGGGAGCAAACAGGAUUAGAUACCCUGGUA